CAGCCGCGGGAAUACAGAGGGUGCGAGCGUUAAUCGGAUUUACUGGGCGUAAAGCGUGCGUAGGCGGCUUCUUAAGUCGGAUGUGAAAUCCCUGAGCUUAACUUAGGAAUUGCAUUCGAUACUGGGAAGCUAGAGUAUGGGAGAGGAUGGUAGAAUUGCAGGUGUAGCGGUGAAAUGCGUAGAGAUCUGGAGGAAUACCGAUGGCGAAGGCAGCCAUCUGGCCUAAUACUGACGCUGAGGUACGAAAGCAUGGGGAGCAAACAGGAUUAGAUACCCCAGUAGUCCCUGUCUCUUAUACACA
rnacentral:rRNA from 1 species